CUCCUUUGAAAAAUAAGGAAGCUUGUUAUAAUUUGUAUACACCGAGAAACAAUUUGAAGCUGAGGCUAAAAGGAAAGUAGUGUUUAGAAGGAAAAAAAUGACAGCUUUAUGAAACUGCUUAACCUGUUAUCAAUUUCAAGGCUACUAAUGGAGCCUAUCUGAAGCAUUUGUCUAUCACUGGAAAGCAAUAACCUAACCAUGACCUAAGCCACAGAAUCUCAGACCAAACAGAAAAUAACUGCCAGAAAACCCUUACAAAUGCCAAACCCUUACCAAUUUACAUCAAAUCAGACUUUUUUCAUGAAUGAUAUUGUUUGUAUGUUAAUUCCAAGCAGAGCAUCUUCUUAGAGCAAGUCCAUGGUCUCUAAUUAAUUAAUAUCCCAGAUUCCUAUUAAAAGUUAUGCUCAGGGCAGAAAACAAUAAAAUAAUAAUGGUAUUGCAAAAUAUUAAAACAAAAGCAAAAUAUAAAUGCCCACACCAGGUUAAAAUCUGAAUAACAACAAAUCAUCUUAGACAUGCAAAGUCCAUCCAAACAAAAAUUAGCAACCAACAAGACAAUUUGGCCUUCCCUGUAAAAGGGUUCCGGUCUAGGAAAGCCCUCUCCCACCUUGGCAACAAAGAAAGAGACAGUAUCUUCAAAUCCAAAAAGAUUCAUAUAAAAGAAUGGGAUUUUUCAAAUAGUGAUAACAUAUUCCAGAAAUUGUCCCCAUCCUCGCCCUCUACUCCAAUCUGACAAGAUGAGCUAUUACCCAAUCAAACUAUCUAAAAGUAAGGCUUGGAAUUUUAUUUCCUAAAAAAAGGACCAGCCUGGACAAAGGGAAUGAGGUCAUCCGGGGUUUUGGAGUUCGGUGCCAUCUCUACGCGGAUGACACCCAACUCUACUACUCUUUUCCACCUAAAUCCAAGGAAGCCCCUCGGAUACUGGAUCAGUGUCUGGCCGCUGUGUUGGCCUGGAUGAGGGCGAACAAGCUGAGACUUAAUCCUGAUAAGACAGAGGUCCUCCAGGUCAGUCGAAAGUCCGAUCGGGGUAUUGGGUGGCAACCUGUGCUUGACGGGGUCACACUCCCCCUGAAGGCGCAGGUCAGCAGCUUGGGGGUCCUCCUGGAUUCGGGGCUGACGCUUGAAGCUCAGGUGUCGGCCGUGGCCGGGAGGGCCUUUGCACAAUUAAAAUUUGUGCGCCAGCUGCGACCAUACCUCGAGAAGUCUGAUCUGACCAUGGUGGUCCACACCUUAGUUACCUCUAGACUGGAUUAUUGCAAUGCGCUCUACGUGGGGCUGCCUUUGAAGACGGUCUGGAAACUGCAAUUAGUUCAACGCACGGCAGCCAGGUUUCUAACUGGAGCAAAUUACAGGGCACGUUCAACGCCUCUGUUUAAGGAGCUCCACUGGCUGCCGCUUACUUUCCAAGCCCAAUUCAAGGUGCAGGUUCUUACCUACAAAGCCCUAAACGGUUUGGGACCCGCCUACCUUAGAGACCGCAUUUCCCCCUAUGAACCCGCACGAUCUCUUCGCUCGUCAGGGGAGGCCCUCCUCUCGCUCCCACCACCCUCGCAGGCGAGGUUGGUGGGGACAAGAGAGAGGGCCUUCUCUGUCGUGGCCCCCCAGCUUUGGAACCUGCUCCCUAGGGAGAUUAGGCUGCCCCCCACCCUCCUCUCCUUCCGGAAGAAUCUGAAAACCUGGCUUUUCCGGAAAGCCUUUGAUGAGUGACUUUUGUUGGUUUAAGAUGCCUGCCUAUGUAAUAAUAGACCCACUUUUAUGUAAUAAUAGGCCCUUUUAUUGUCACUAUUGUCAUUUAUAGUACUUCAUUGACUAUGUCAAUUGUGUAACUAUCUCCUCCCGAUUUGACACAUUCACCUUUCGGCCCAGACUUGUGUUUGAUAUACCUGUUUUAACAUUUUAUCUUGUAUUGUUGAUAUUGUUGAUUUAGUGUUGUAAAUUUGUGUUUUUGUUUUGAUUUUAUAUUGUGAUGUUGGGCAAGGCCCCAUGUGAGCCGCCCCGAGUCCCUUCGGGGAGAUGGAGCGGGGUACAAGAAUAAAUUAUUAUUAUUAUUAUUAUUAUUAUUAUUAUUAUUAUUAUUAUUAUUAAAUCUAAAGAGCACAAAAAGCUAAUUUUCAAAAAUAUAUUACUUGAAACUAUGCAACCCCGCUUAACCUUCACACAAUUAGACACAAAAACUACAAAAAAUGACUUCAUUAGGAAUAUUUCUCACUCCAUAGUAAUCCCAAUGUAUAUCAGGGUUUAAAAUGUUCUGUGCCCAGAUGGGUAUUUCUGCUGGCAAAAUCAAGAACAUUUCACAAUAUCCACUCAAAAUCAAGAUAGCAGAAUCACAGAACAGUAGAGUUGGAAGAGACCUCAUGGGCCAUCCAGUCCAACCCCCUGCCAAGAAGCAGGAAAUCGCAUUCAAAGCACCCCUGACAGAUGGCCAUCCAGCCUCUGCUUAAAAAGCCUCCAAGGAAGGAGCCUCCACCACAGUCCGGGGGAGAGAGUUCCACUGCCGAACAGCCCUCACAGUGAGGAAGUUCUUCCUGAUGUUCAGGUGGAAUCUCCUUUCCUGUAGUUUGAAGCCAUUGUUCCGCGUCCUAGUCUGCAGGGCAGUAGAAAACAAGCUUGCUCCCUCCUCCCUAUGACUUCCCCUCACAUAUUUGUACAUGGCUAUCAUGUCUCCUCUUAGCCUUCUCUUCUGCAGGCUAAACAUGCCCAGUUCUUUAAGCCGCUCCUCAUAGGGCUUGUUCUCCAGACCUUUGAUCAUUUUAGUUGCCCUCCUCUGGACGCUUUCCAGCUUGUCAACCCUUCAACUGCGGUGCCCAGAAUUGGACGCAGUAUUCCAGGUGUGGUCUGACCAAGGCAGAAUAGAGGGGGAGCAUGACUUCCCUGGAUCUAGACGCUAUACCCCUAUUGAUGCAGGCCAGAAUCCCGUUGGCUUUCUUAGCAACUGCAUCACAUUGCUGGCUCAUGUUUAACUUGUUGUCCACAAGGACUCCAAGAUCUUUUUCACAUGUACUGCUGUCUAGCCAGGCGUCCCCCAUUCUGUAUCUUUGCAUUCCAUUUUUUCUGCCGAAGUGAAGUAUCUUGCAUUUGUCCCUGUUGAACUUCAUUUUGUUAGUUUCGGCCCAUCUCUCUAGUCUGUUAAGAUCGUUUUGAAUUCUGCUCCUGUCUUCUGGAGUAUUGGCUAUCCUUCCCAGUUUGGUGUCGUCUGCAAACUUGAUGAUCAUGCCUUCUAACCCUUCAUCUAAGUCGUUAAUAAAGAUGUUAAACAGAAUCGGGCCCAGGACAGAACCCUGCGGCACUCCAUUCGUGACUUCUUUCCAAGAUGAAGACGACGCAUUGGUGAGCACCCUUUGGGUUCGUUUGCUUAGCCAAUUACAGAUCCACCUAACCGUAGUUUUGUCUAUCCCACACUUUACUAGUUUGUUUGCCAGAAGGUUGUGAGGGACUUUGUCGAAGGCCUUACUGAAAUCUAGGUACGCUACAUCCAUGGCAUUCCCUGUAUCGACCCAAUUCGUAACUCUAUCGAAAAAAGAGAUCAGAUUAGUCUGGCAUGACUUGUUUUUGGUAAAUCCGUGUUGACUAUUAGCAAUGACUGCAUUUGUUUCUAAGUGUUUGCAUUUGUACCUCUAGUGGAACAUUUCCCUGUCAGCCCUCUUUCUUUGAAAAAAAAAAUAAUACCAUGGCUGUGUCUUUAAAAAACAUGGCAGAUGCCUGAAACUCAGCAGCAUUGUUUCCAGCUCUUUGGGUGCAGUGCUGUAAAAUAGCACUCUAAACACCACAGAAGCAUACAAGAAGCUCGGCCUCUCACUGAACAUAGAGAAAACCAAAGUGCUCUUCCAACAGGCACCAGCUAAUCCCUCUGCAAAGCCAGGAAUACAACUUAAUGGUGUAACAUUAGAAAAUGUUGAUCAUUUCCGCUACCUUGGCAGCCACCUCUCCACAAAAGUCAACAUCGACACUGAAAUACAACACCACUUGAGAUCUGCAAGUGCAGCAUUUUUCAGAAUGAAGCAGAGAGUGUUUGAUGAUCGGGACAUCUGUAGAGAUACCAAGGUGCUUGUUUAUAAAGCCAUUGUCCUCCCAACCCUGCUCUACGCCUGCGAAACAUGGACGGUCUACAGACGUCACACUCAACUCCUGGAGCGUUUCCAUCAGCGUUGACUCAGAAAAAUCCUGCAAAUCUCUUGAGAAGACAGGCAGACAAGUGUCAGCGUGCUUGAGGAAGCAAAGACCACCAGCAUUGAAGCGAUGCUCCUACGCCAUCAACUCCGCUGGACUGGCCACGUCGUCCGAAUGCCCGAUCACCGUCUCCCAAAGCAGUUGCUCUACUUCGAACUCAAGAACGGGAAACAGAAUGUUGGUGGGCAGGAAAAGAGAUUUAAAGAUGGGCUUAAAGCCAACCUUAAAAACUGUGGCAUAGACACAGAGAACUGGGAAGUCCUGGCCCUUGAGCACUCUAAUUGGAGGUCAGCUGUGACCAGCAGUGCUGCGGAGUUCGAAGAGGCACAAAUAGAGAGCUUAAGGGAGAAACAUGCCAAGAGGAAGGAGCGUCAAGCCAACCCUGACCAGGACCGCCUUCCACCUGGAAACCAAUGUCCUCACUGCAGGAGAACAUUCAGAUCAAGUAUAGGUCUCUUCAGCCACCUAUGGACACACCCCCAAGACAACAGAAAUGGAAGACAAUCGUCCUCGAACUACGAGGGAUCGCCUAAGGUAAGGUAAAAUAGCUCAUUUUGCAAGUAUAGUUCUCAGUGAAUUGUGCCACAGGACAUGACGUUGGGGAACUAAAAUAUCUCAUCUGCCUGACGGAGUGUUGUGAUCAUUUCAUUCUGCUUAGGGCAAUUUCUAUUGAAAAAGUGUGAUGCUGUGAAGAAAAACAAUGUGCAUAAUGAUGAUGAUAAUAAUAAUAAUAGUGUUUAUUUAUACCCUUCCUUCUCUCUCCACAAGAAGACUCAAUUAAAAGCAUUUCAAUACAAUUUAAAAUCGACAAAUAUACAAACAUUAAAACAGGAAUAAAUAUAAAUGGUAUUUUUAAAAUUCAGUUAAAAUCCAGUGCUUGGUACACCUCCAAAAACUGUUAGAAGCGAGGGUGCCUCACUACUGAAUUGAACUGAAGCUCAAAGCCAAGAACCUAACAGGAAAAGACAACAGGACUGUUAUGUUUCAUGAAUGCUCUCGUGUCCAAAUACAGGCCCCACAAGGGUAACUGAAUCACUGUGAGAAUUCUAAUACCAUUAGCCUCCACUAUCACUGAGGAAUAUUUCCAGCCAGCAAAACUGAGUCCCAUGGAAGCCAUCCCAUGGCCGCACAUGGAAAUCCAUCUUGCUAGAGUGAGACGAUGGUCAGAAGCCUUAAUUGAAGACAGCGUGAAACAGAGGAAAGCCAGAAGAAGAUGGAAAACGUUGUGGGAUGGCUGCCCAUUCCCAAAGACGGAAUUUGCUAAGGUAGAUCGGGUCCCCAAUCUUAAGGACGCUUUCCCCCGCUUCCUCCUCCCCUCUUGCACGUGAAAUUUGAAAACAGGAGAAGACAGCUGUUUUCAACACAAGACCUUCUGUUUAUGUUUAAGCCAGCCCAAUGCCAGUUCAGAUCUUCAUCUGUAUUACCCUACAACAGUGUAAGAAAGCUGAGUCCUGAAAGAAGAUUUUCAGGUUUAAAUGGAGUCUAAUUCAUUACAAUUAGUCUUCAGUUGGUAUCAAAAGUCACAAACGUAUGUCAAUUGAGGCUUUUUCAGUGUUAAACUUGAAGUGUAUAUAAAUAAAUAUAAAGCAGUUCAAAUCUGUCCUUUGGUCUAGAUUUUCGAAUGCCAUUAAAUAAACCUAGACAGCUCAAAAGCUAAAUUGCACCAACAAACCACAAACAAAGAAUGUAUAUACAUUUAUAUAAACUUUAUCAUACCUGUUUGCAUAUCUUAAUGUAUUUAGUGUGUUUUCACAAGAUGCCAUCCCAGGAGAAAUAGUAGCAAUCUGAGAGCAAAAAAAUAACAAAGGCCCAGAAGUGAAUUUCUAUUUAAAAGAUAUUUUUAAAAGGGAUGUUUUUUAAUGAAGCAUACUAGCAGUUGGUUGCUGCAUAUUGUUUUUAACCUAUUGUCAGCCAUUAGAAAAGUUUAAAGCGAAUCCAUAUUUCAGACCACCUUACACAGUACCAUUCUACCCCACUAUUCUUACAGUCUACUAAAGAUGCCACUGCAUUUUAUUCAAAAUGAAUAACAGUAAACAUACUUUUUUUUCUAUUGGAAAUGUUCUCUCUUUAUUUCUUCAUACCUAGCAAUUCUUCUGAAAGGGGAUACACCCCAGUUCUAGGAGAUAUCAUAUCGAACCUAUGAUCAUGCUUCCUUAUGUAUAUCUACAAUCUGAAUUCUAGUAACAGAAAGUUAGGAACUUUGAGUUGUAGCAAGCAGAGAGCCUCUAACUGCUCAUGCUGCCAUAGCAAUGCCAUGAGAAACAAGAUACCAAACAAUUACAAUCCUUCCAAGAUCAUUUCAAAUAAACACAAGAUUUAUUCUAAAGUGAGUACAAUAAUUAAAUGAAUAAAUACCAUAUAAAAUGUAUUUUUUUAAAAAUAACAGUGCCAUUGUUCCUGUUGGUGCUUGAUUUUCAGAAUACUUUGGCAGUGAACUUUCUGCAAAGUGCAAGGAAAACCAAUCUUAUUCAUAUGCAGAUAUGCAAUUUCUGAAGUUCCACUCAAACCAAGUAGAAGGAUCCAACCAAGAAAGGGUUAAUUCCAGUCAAUGUCCAAGCUUGGCAAGAGACCAUGUGUAUCUUUUUUGAAAAAUAUUUAUUAUUUUAGAGUGUUUUCCCCCAUUUGCCUUUCUCUGCCAGGAGAUAAGGAACUACCCAUGAAAGGUAAUUACCAUAGUGGAACAAUGCCCUGCUAGGGACAGUGGCAAGAAUGUACAGUAGAGUCUCACUCAUCCAAGCUAAAUGGGCCGGCAGAACCUUGGAUAAGUGAAUAUCUUGGAUAAUAAGGCGGGAUUAAAGAAAAACCUACUAAACAUCAAAUUAGGUUACGAUUUUACAAAUUAAGCACCAAAACAUCAUGUUAUACAACAAAUUUGACAGAAAAAGUAGUUCAAUACGCAGUAAUGUUAUGUUGUAAUUACUGUAUUUACAAAUUUAGCACCAAAAUAUCACGAUAUAUUGAAAACAUUGACUACAAAAAUGCACUGGAUAAUCCAGAACCUUGGAUAAGCGAGUCUUGGAUAAGUGAGACUCUACUGUAAUUUAAUUGGACAGGAUUUGCUAAAGCAAUCUUCUGCCAAAGAGCACCCUAGCUGAGGCAAAUCUGUCCAGUCUGUAAUACUUUGUAAAAAAAAAAAAAAAAAGGCGUAGCCCACGUUCCUGCUCUGAAAAAUUUCCUUCAGGGCAGCGCUAGUUGCGAAGGCUGCUGAAGUGGCUUCUGACCUGGUAGAGUAUGCUGUUACCCUAUGUGGGUUCAGGGAGGUCAAGGGAUUCAUAAGCUAGGGAUACAUGUCUUAAUCCAUUGAACCAAUACAUAUGGAGAGACCUUCUUCGCACACAGAAGGCAAGGAGUGUCCAUUUUUCUGAAUGACCUAGUAGUGUGUCUGAUAUACAGCUUUGGAGCUCUCCUAAUGCCCAUUUUGUUUCAUUGAUUCUUUUAAGGAUGAAAUGGGGUAAAACAGUAGUAAAAAAUCACCAUUGGGCAGUGUAACAGGGAAUUUACUAUAGGUAAAAAAAACCCAGAUUAAACCAGAGAGAGACAGGGUGGUUAUCAAAUUUACAAGAAAAGGGGUCCAUACAGAGAACUGAUAGAUCAGAAACCCCCUGGUUGAGGUAACCAGGAAAAGUACCUUUUCACAGGAUUCGUAGUGAAACCGUCUUUAAGGCAGUCUGGAAAGGUCUUCUUUAUGUGAGGAUGGAAAGAAAUAAACUGAUUGUAGCAAGUCAACAAAUGGAGACCGUAACUAUAAUUUGGCACCAUAAGAUGUUAGGUUUAAGACCCAGGUCAAGGCCUAUUUGCAGAACUAGGGGGGGGGGCAAUGAUAAAUACUCUUUGCAUUACCUGGGUGGUGAUUGAAAUUAAUCCUUUCAUGAAUGGUUGCUUCUCCACUGGGUGAGAAAGUAUUAAUCUCUUCACAAAGAACUAAGAAAGGAUACAGCAUCCUUAGAAGUAGGACAGUGUAUGUAGAGUAAGAUGGACACUACUGUAUCUUUCUGACAAAUAAAAUAACAAUGAAUUAAAGGGCUAUUGUAGUAGUAACUCUUAAGCUGGCACAUGGCAUCUGGUGAGAUAUAUGAAAUACUUCCCCCACAGAGAGAAUUUACUGAAUUCUGAUGAGUAAGUUUCACAUCAAAAUCAGUCAUGAAAAGCUGAGCAUCAAUGCCCCAAAAGAAAGAUCACAGCUGGAAUAAAUCCCUUAAGCUAAUUUUAAAGGCAAGUAUUUGAACAGAUAGCUGAAGGAUGAGGAAAUAAUCAAGGAAGAACAUGAUAUAACUGCCAUGUAUUGUGAAUAAUAACUACAAUAAUGCUUAAUUAGCAGGGCCAAUAGGAAGAAUAAUGAGAAUUGCAUUUUGAAACAUCUAGUGUAUUCCAAGUAUCUUAGACCUGGCUAACAUGAUUUGUUGUUGUUGCUGUGUGCCUUCAAGAUGUUUUUGACUCACGGCAACCCUAAGGCUGCCAUCAUGGGAUUUGCUUGUACCAAUUUAUUAGCUCCAAAGAAUAUACAACCUGCCAUCCAAUUUGGACAUGGUCUCCAGUGAAUUACACUUGACCUAUUAAAAUGGAACAAAAUACUUACCAUACACGUGCGAGAGUUUUCUCCUAUGAAUGAAUCUCUCAGGACCUGAGUAAGUUUACUCGCUCUGAAUGGCGUAUGAGGUUUAUUUCGGCCUAAGGCUCUGAUGCACUCCUGUAAAGAGUAAAUAUGUUUAUGCCUUUUCUUUUGCAAGAUCUCUAUAAAAUACAAGCCAAAUAAACAAAUACAUUAUGUGGCAUUUCACAUGUUUAUAAGCUAGUAUCAGAAAGGUGCUUCUUGUUACGGGUUUGUUGAAAAACAAACUGCGUGCAGUUCUGUCCAGACUUAUCCAGUUCUUUGUUGUAUCCACAAUGAGCAAAAGAAAACAAGCCAGGAAAAUGGAAGAAAAUCAAAAUUUACUCUUAAGUAGCAGAGUCAAAAAAAUCACAAUAAAACUUCCAGCAACAAAACUCACAUAAAGUCCCUUGCAUUAAAUUCAUGCAUCUUCAUAGUAGGCUCUCAGCAAGCAUUCAGUAAGUCCCCAAAAGACAUUACAAACAUUUCCCAGAUAUCACACAACUCUGACUGUAUAUAGUUCAAACCAGAAUACCGAUUCUGAACUGAAUACAAACACUAGAUUUUGGUGGAAACAUUAAACGGGCAGCUAAUGCUUUUAAUUGCCACUGUUUCUCCUAACUUCAUGAGCUUCUGCUUUGCAGCACAAAAUAAAUCACUCAAACUAUGAACUGAGGAAAAGGAAAACCUAAUAUGAUCAUUUUUUUACUGCUGGCAUUUUUAAUGCCUCUUAAAAAUUAAACUGAAAAAGCCCCUAGGCCAGUGGUUCCCAACCUUUGGUCCUCCAGGUGUUUUGGACUUAAACUCCCAGGAAAUUUGUUUAGCAGCUGUUAGGAAUUGUGGGAGCUGAAGUCCAAAACACUAAGGAAUUUAUCGGGUUUUAAUCUGCUUUAAUUUUUACUUUGGAUGUUCUUAAUGUAUUAUUAGCCGCUUUGAGUCUCGCCUUAGUGUGAGAGAAAAGCGGGUUAAAAAUCAACUCAAUAAAUAAAUAAUAACACCUAGAGGAUGAAAGGUUGAGAACCACUGCUCUAAACUAAUAGCUUUUUCUGUAUGUUUAAAAUGGAAUCAGGGUAUAAAAUGUACAUAUCUUAUGUUUAGGCAACAUGCACAAUUCCUUCAAAGUUUUUCUUUGUAAAUUGGUUGUUGUGGAUACUUCUCUGACUGUGCAUAACCAAUACAGAACCAAACUAUGAAAUAAAGGGUUUAUAUUUAUUUUAUUUUUACAUUUUAAUUUAUAAUUUCGGUUAUUUUACUGAAAGUAGCUUUGAAAUGUAAUACAUAACUUUAAAUGUGGUUCAUUUCUAGUGAAGACAGCAUUUAACCGCUCUGAGUCCCUUCAGGGAGAGGGCGGGAUAUAAAUAAAGUAUUAUUAUUAUUAUUAUUAUUAUUAUUAUUAGCAUUAAAAUGCUGCUGUUGCUGAACUCACAUUACUAUAUGCAUGUUUUGAAAUCAUUCACACAUAGCUACUUCUAUAAACAAUCCCCAAAAUGAAUGGCACUCCAAGCAGUACAAACACAGUUUAAGAGCCAUCUGUUAGGUGUAUUCCUUGCCUGGUAUAGGUGCAAAGGACAAAGGAGGUCAGGACACAAAAAGAGACUUAAAAAAGAUAGGCCUAAAAACCAAGGAUGAUUUUCAAGAAGUUUUAUGUCUUUCCUUAUGAUGUUUGCCUGCUACAGAUGUAUUUGACUAUUACUGCUAAAAAUAAUAACAAUGUUUUGAAUAUUUUAUCCAUUGGAAAGAUAACACUGCUAUUUCAAACUAGAACAAUGCUUUGACAAGUGGACUAGAGGAUCUCUAGGUAGCUGAAUUCCAAUCUAUUUUAUUUUUUAUCUUGAAACAAAAACUAUCAGAGGUUACAGAUGAAGCCAUUCAAUUAUAAAUGUUCCAUUUAUUUCUAACAAUAGUAAUUUGGAGUAUAUGUGGUUGUUUAGUUAUUCUUAAUCCCCUAUAUAAUUAAUGACAUUGAGAAGAUGACAAACAAAGCGGAGAAAGAGCACAACAAUUCACUGCAAUUAAGUACAAAUGAACAUUAAAUCAUGGAUUUAUAUUUUUCAUGUGCUGAAUUACCUAUGCAUACAUAUCCAAAUACAAAACAUGUAGAUAUGGAUAUUUAUUGUUGGAUUUCUAUUGCUAGCAAGUUACACAAACAGCAAAAAUGCUUGCUGGUAAAAUACUGUAAGUUCUUUUCCUAAGGAGAAACUAACAUGUCAAAGAUAGACACAAUGAAUGAAUGACUACACACAAAAGACAACUUCCUCCAAGACCAAAUACUGAAAACUUUCAAAUGUAAAUAAAUGUGGCAAAGCAAGGAAUAGAAUUAUAUUAUUUUGGCAUGUCCUCAAAAGAGAUGCUAAGAAUACAUUUUACAGUAAUCAUCAUUGUAUUAUAUAGAGUUAUUUUCUGGUUAGCUAAGUAGGCAAGUCUGAAAAUAGUUGUAUUAUUAAGUAUUCACCAUGUAAUAAAUUGUCUUCUUGUUUUGUAAACAAUAUAAUAUACACUGAAGAUCAAAACAGAACUAAUGCACUUCCUCUGUCUCUCUCACUCCAUUUUGUUUAGUUACCUUAACAAAUACAUAAUUUUCAUAUAAAUGAAGUAUGUAGUGGAACUUACAAAGAAAAUCUAUUCACCUUGGUGCCUAUCUUAUUUACUUGGCUAGUAGGCUAUUUCAUUUGAAAGUCAUUAUAUAAUACUAUAUUUUGUCUGAGAUAUAGGGUCAAAGAGACAGCUUAAAUACCCUGAAGUCGCUAGAUCCUUUCUGAUUUUGGAAGUUAAAUAGAAGCUAUCCUGGUUAGUAACUGAAUGGGGGACCACUAAUGAGUAUCAGGUAAAACAGGCUAUAUUUCAGAGGAAGACAUUUCUGAGUAUUCCUUGCCUAAAAAAACUGUGAAAAUCAUAAAUUAUCAGGCAACUUCAAGAUAUAUAAACCCACGCAUGAGGUAGAAGAUCAGUUUGCUUUAUCUUUCAAAGCUUCCCCUACUGAGUAAUAGAAAUUCAGUAAAUACCUCCCCCUUCUUCACCUUAUAAUUGUAGUCAGAACUGGAUGACAUUUCUAGAUGUAGUAGCCCUUUCUAAAGCAAUAUUUUUAUCAUGUCAGAAGCAAAUUGAAAACAUACUGCAAGUUGCUUCUGGUGUGAGAAAAUUGGCCAUCUACAAAGAUGUUGCACAGGGGACGCCCGGAUGUGUUACUAUCCUGUUGGGAGGCUUCUCUCAUAUCCCUGCAUGAGAAGCUAGGGCUGAUAGAUGGGAACUCACCCCGUCGUGCAGAUAUGAACCACCAACAUUUAGGUCAGCAGUUCAGCCGGUCCCUUAGGCCCCUUUUAAGACAAUAAGAUUGCUAAACUUCAGAGAUGUAAGUGUGAUGCUGAAAAGGUAUGUAUUUUUAAAAUUACCAAGGCUUUAAAAUAUAUUAUUGUACUCUGCUCAAUUUACAUGAUGUUUACAGAUACUGCAAAGCUAUCAGAAGUAGGCUGGAGGAAAGAAUCAAAACAUCUGUCCACUGAGAACUCUUGUUCAGUGGUUCUCAACCUGGGGUCCCCAGAUGUUUUUGGCCUACAACUCCCAGAAAUCCCAGCCAGUUUAUCAGCUGUUAGGAUUUCUGGGAGUUGAAGACCAAAGACAUCUGGGGACCCCAAGUUGAGAACCACUCCUCUAGAUGGUGGCCGAAACCAGUAUAUGAGUGACUUCAUAUUUAAAACAAGGGUAGGUUUUAGGGUCAAAAUACAGAUUUUGGUAUGACUUGUGGAUAAGUUGGAGGUCAUUCUGCAGAGAAGUAAAAGUAACAGCACUGUUUCAAGGACCCACCGGCUUCUGAACACCACAAUCAUGUUCCCACCUAGGCUUACAAAAAAACCUUUUGCCAUUUUACUCAGAGAAGGGGAUGAUUCAUUUUUUU